rnacentral:rRNA from 1 species
GACGAACGCUGGCGGCGUGCUUAACACAUGCAAGUCGAACGGAAAGGCCCUGCUUUUGUGGGGCGCUCGAGUGGCGAACGGGUGAGUAACACGUGAGUAACCUGCCCUUGACUUUGGGAUAACUUCAGGAAACUGGGGCUAAUACCGGAUAGGAGCUCCUGCUGCAUGGUGGGGGUUGGAAAGUUUCGGCGGUUGGGGAUGGACUCGCGGCUUAUCAGCUUGUUGGUGGGGUAGUGGCUUACCAAGGCUUUGACGGGUAGCCGGCCUGAGGGGGUGACCGGCAACAUUGGGACUGGGAUACGGCCCAGACUCCUACGGGAGGCAGCGGUGGGGAAUAUUGCACAAUGGGCGGAAGCCUGAUGCAGCAACGCCGCGUGCGGGAUGACGGCCUUCGGGUUGUAAACCGCUUUCGCCUGUGACGAAGCGUGAGUGACGGUAAUGGGUAAAGAAGCACCGGCUAACUACGUG